UACGUAGGGUGCGAGCGUUGUCCGGAAUUAUUGGGCGUAAAGGGCUCGUAGGCGGUUUGUCGCGUCGGGAGUGAAAACCUUGGGCUUAACUCAGGGCUUGCUUUCGAUACGGGCAGACUAGAGGUAUGCAGGGGAGAACGGAAUUCCUGGUGUAGCGGUGAAAUGCGCAGAUAUCAGGAGGAACACCAAUGGCGAAGGCAGCUCGCUGGGACGGUACUGACGCUGAGGCGCGAAAGCGUGGGGAGCAAACAGG
rnacentral:rRNA from 1 species